UAACUCCCUCUGCAGUAGGAUCAUUUCUAUAGGACACGUCUUUCUUUGAAUUUUUCAAAGAAGCCACUGAAUCCAACUUGGUUGAUGAGUUACGCACCUUCAUGCCCUAGAGUGAGGCUUUUUUUCUCCGACAAUGCGCUCUGGUUUUCUGGAUUGUAGUUUAUUAUGAGCUACGUUUCGGAUACUUGUUCGCUGGGUCCUAUUGUGCAUUUUGCAGAGUUCUGCAGAUGUAGAUGGAUUUUCGAUGAUCUCUACCCUUGAUGUCUAUGUCUCUCCGGAGAAAAGACCUUGGGCGGGCAUGAAUGGUAGUCUGACAAGU
rnacentral:snoRNA from 1 species